rnacentral:rRNA from 1 species
CCUACGGGUGGCAGCAGUGAGGAAUAUUGGUCAAUGGCCGGAAGGCUGAACCAGCCAAGCCGCGUGAGGGAGGAAGGCGCAGAGCGUCGCAGACCUCUUUUGCCGGGGGACAAAAGGCCGGACGGGUCCGGUUCUGAGGGUACCCGGAGAAAAAGCAUCGGCUAACUCCGUGCCAGAAGCCGCGGUAAUACGGAGGAUGCGAGCGUUAUCCGGAUUCAUUGGGUUUAAAGGGUGCGCAGGCGGGCCUUUAAGCCGGCGGUGAAAUCGGGGGGCUCAACCCCGCCGAGCCGUGGGAACUGGGGGCCUUGAGUGCGGCGGAGGCAUGCGGAAUGCGCGGUGUAGCGGUGAAAUGCGUAGAUAUUAGGAGGAACACCAGUGGCGAAGGCGACUUUCUGGACUGUACCUGACGCUGAGGCGCGAAAGCGUGGGUAGCGAACGGGAUUAGAUACCCGUGUAGUC